rnacentral:rRNA from 1 species
AACUCUCAACAACGGAUAUCUUGGCUCUCGCAUCGAUGAAGAACGCAGGAAUUGCGAUAAGUAAUGUGAAUUGCAGAAGUGAAUCAUCGAAUCUUUGAACGCACCUUGCGCUCCCGGCAGAUCUAAUCUGGGGAGCAUGCCUGUUUGAGGGCC